CAGCAAGCAGGAAGUGCCUGGAGGAUACAGGAGCCCAGCAGUGUUCUAAGGCAGAGGAUCAGAAUCGUAGUGAGGAGCUAUCUGGGCGUCAAGUUCUGCAAAGAUUUAGCUGGAACAAGUCCCGUGCCAAUCAGAGAGCAGCACUACUGAAAUAGAACUCUCAGGAGGUAACCGCGUGUCACACAUGUGAUGUCAUAGCCAUUGUCCACCAGAGAGCAGCAAUGAGCAGAUAUAACACUGCUCCUGCUCAUUCUUCAUCAGUGAGGGGCUGAUGCUGGACACUGUAGGGACCGAGAAUGCAAAGUCAUAUACACUACUGUGACUGGUAAGUGUCACAUUGUUGUGACCAAAAGGUCUUUAGUGCAGUUCAAUGUGCUUUUCUAUAAUAAACAUGUAAAUAAUCUAUCUUUUGUUUUCCUAUCUUAGAUGCAUUAUUUCCAGGAUGUGGAGUAGCAUUUCCGGCCCUACAGCAAGACGUUGGAUGAAGACGUGGAUUUCCAGACCUAGCAAGAAUUUGGAUGAAGGCACAGCCCCUCGAAUCACGCACAUACACAGACACAUUGGCCCAAAUUCUAGAGGUAACCUCCUUUAGUAUGCCCAGAGGAAGGGCAAUACAGUAGCCAUGGAUUCCCUACAGGUUUUCUCCCCUCUGGAGGUUUUUCCUGUCCUGAGUAUUAGUUACUGUACGCUCUUUGUGAGUGAUGGAGGUUACAUAAAAUCCCUACACAAACAUUUUAAUAUAUAAUAAAUAAAGUUCCCCUUUUUAAACCAUUCUUUAACUUGUUUGACUCAUUUAUUUUAUUUGUGUGUGAAAAAUAGUGUUAGCAAAAC